GACGUAGGGCGCGAGCGUUGUCCGGAAUUAUUGGGCGUAAAGAGCUCGUAGGCGGUUUGUCGCGUCGACUGUGAAAACCCGAGGCUUAACCUCGGGCCUGCAGUCGAUACGGGCAGACUAGAGUGCGGUAGGGGAGACUGGAAUUCCUGGUGUAGCGGUGAAAUGCGCAGAUAUCAGGAGGAACACCGGUGGCGAAGGCGGGUCUCUGGGCCGUAACUGACGCUGAGGAGCGAAAGCAUGGGGAGCGAACAGG
rnacentral:rRNA from 1 species